AGCACAGCAGUGCUGUUUCACAAAGCGUCGAUCAACAACAAGAGCGUGAUCAGAGCUCUAACCGACAGUCUGUCCUGUAUUCCUCGCCUAAAAAUGCUGAACAAUUGUUAGGCAUCUAAAAACAGUAAUUUCGAUGUGCAUUUUUCUGGUUUCCACACUGGAAGAACAUUAAUAAAACAAUAAAACCUUCUUUGGGUUUUUGUUGCACUUCAAAGGAAAAAUGAGCAAGCGUGUAUCGCAGACAAUAGGUGUGAUAUUAGACAAUGGCCUGAUCUGCCACCGCAAGAUACCGUAGAAGCAGAUUAGACAUUAUCUCUUCGCUGAGUGCUAGAGAGUACCACAGAGUGUACCGUUGCCCUCUUUGCCCGGCACAUUCAACACAGCUCGAUAUUUCUGUAACGUAAAUAAAGCAGCAGCAACUGGAAAAGCUGUCAACCAUUAAGAGCUACUUAAAAAGAAAUCUGCUUUCGUAGUGUGCUCUCUACUACAGCCUGCCUGUUUGUUUUCUCUUUGCAUUCAUGAAGUCUUGACAAGCGAAUCAUGUCACCUGUUCCUUUCUUUUCUUCCAGCGGCUUAAUUUUCUAAAUGAAAAUCCUCAUUUUAGGAAACUCGCAAGUUAAACAGACUUAGCAAGUAAAUAUAAUCAGUUUGUUUCUUCGCUGGAACAUAACCAUUUUCAUAAUGCAGCGUGAGUAGUUUUGAACUAACUCGGCCUCAUCAAAAAAGCUGUGGGCCCUGCAGUGGAUUUUAUUUCCUUGCAUCAUGCAACAAUUUGACAGUAUCUUGCAUUUCGGCGUUUAUUUUCAGUUAUGCCAACCCGUUCAACACUUGAUAGACAGUAUGAAUUUGCAGUUGUGUAAGCGUGCGUUACUUCUUGUCCAGUAGCUCUCUAAGCUGGUCUUGGGCAGCGUACGGUGUGCUCAGUGUGUUCUGGGUAGUGUGGUUUGCGUGAGCCUCAGUGCUGGCUGCCGCGAUGCGCUGAUCCAGUCCAGCAACCUUCAGAACAAUUGGCCAGCCGUGGAACAGGGCCCACUGUUUUGACAGCCACUGCCUGCAGUGUCACAGCACAUUACACUCCCAUUAGGUGGUCAGAAAGGAGAAAUAUCUGCCUCCUUGGACCUGAGGGACUCACGAUUUGCAGAGGUAUCAUUUGCUAAAAAUAAAAGAAAACGUGGCGGACUCUCAUUAGUUACCAUGUUUGUGAUGGACAGGGAUAGAGCUCGUCGGUGAAAAAAUGGAAAUCAGUGGGUGAUCGCUGCUAAAGCUGUGAAAACCACACGUGCAGGCGAUGAGUCAACACAGUACCUCUGCUAUUUCCUUUUGCCAAGAUUCCUCGUUGCUCGAAAAGUGAUAAAUUGCUAUGCUACAGGGGUUUACAAAGCUUAGUCAUCAGUGACCCUGUAAACUUGGGGAUACGGCUUUAUUUUUAGAAACAUGAGGCACCGUGUAAUGCCUCUGAUCCUGACAGGUAGGACUGGAAGCUGAAAGGAUACAGGGUCAAGCUUUUAAAACUUACAGCUUUUGAAUACAGAUUAUUUCUUACAUGGAAAUUCAGCAUGUGACAUUUUCUCUUUUCCUCAAUUGGUGGGCCAGCAGAUAAUUAGCCAGAGACACUUUAAUACUUUCUUUGAGCACGUGUUACCGAGCGAACCGGAGACGUGAAAAGCUCAACAUGCAGUUUAGUCAUUUUGGCUCUACUUUCUCGUUUGUUUGUACUCCCACAGACCACACUGCUACAUCGGCGAAAAUUAAAAGAACUGCAAAACAACAAUUUUCCCCAUUUAAAUCUCUGCUUUUGCUUUUAAGUGGUAACAAAGUGAGCUUUCAUCAUAUCGCAAAGCUGUUAAAAGAAAGAAAUGCUUCAGUACAAAAUCUUUCAUUUUGAUAUGUUAUACGAGUUAUGCAUAAACAGUUAUACUUUUUUUAAAGCAAUUCCCAAAUGAGAAACUCAUAAUGUGUUAUGUCUCAUAGUGAGUUAAUUUGAGUGAGGUUUUAUGUUAGUAAGAGGACAAACAUUAAAAACAGCUUCAAGAGCCUGUCAUCAGUUGAAAAUCAUGUUUACAAGCCAUUCCCAUAAAGUUGGAACAAGUCACGACGUACCGAGCUGAUAAAACACCGUUAAGCGUAUUUGUUGAGCUGCUGAAGAGGGUCUCAGCUCCCAAGCAGAGCAUUCUGUUUAAACCAAGAGCUUGAUACUUGCAAAUGUUAAAUAUGCAAAGAAUUAGACAUCAAUUAUCUUCAUUUGUUUCGGUUGAAACAGAGUACAUAUGCUGGUAGUCAGAAAAAAAGUCCAUAAAGUUAACCAUUACUUCUACACAUGACAAGGAAAACAAAAUCCAGGUGUGACUGUAAUAUUGGAUGUGUACAGGAGUAUCCCAACUAUCCAGGAAGUUGCUCACUCCAUUAAAAUAACCAGGAGUCCUGAAUAUUAUGUUGUCUUUGCCAGCAGUCAAACAGCAGCACUAUUAAAAUGGAUGCUGCGCUCAGAGCCAAACAGUAUAAAGGAGAAAGCAAUUUCCAAAUCCUAGUUUUAUUAUAUUGCCACCUGUCUCACAUCUCUAAACUUAUUGCCUUUUGUUGGCACCAGCACCGUCGGCAAUGACCUUCAACAAUCCUAAGCUCAUGAAUGCAGCAUGGCAGCGCUGCAGAUGCUCCCAGUCGAGAUUCUUUUCUUUCUGUUUUUUGACCAACUUCACUCUCUGUUCUCGCUCUCCUUGUGUUCAGGCUCGGCUCCGUCUUUCAUCAUCUCUUCAUUCCCUGGCGGAGCUGGCGGGUAGGUGCAGGUGUAGAUAAUUAGUGUUUGAUUACAAAGCUUCAAUUCAAGAUGACUGACGCAACCAUCACUGACUCCAAGUUUCCCAGAGAAUAAAGGCUCUUCGAGGUGAUUUUUGUAGUUUGUAAAUGUUUCUUUCCCUCUGAUGUUUUUCUUUCUCUCCGUUUUAGUUAAAGUCUCAUUAACUGUUGGAAGGAUGAUCUUGGAUUUUUGUGCAGACGUUCAUGUUGCCCUCAGGAUGAACUGGAACCUUUUAAGGUUCUUCUGUUUUUCCUCUGGUAUCAUCAUUCAGUCAGAACCUUUUUAGUGCUUUGGUUUAUGCCCGAAUACCUACAAAACCGAACGCCAGCUGUGAUUAUGCUUAUUUAAUAUUAAUUGGUAAAUUCUGGCAUGAUAACUAAACUGCUCAUUACUCAUUACUAAACUCCCAUUUAACAGAUAUUCAGUGGCUCACUUAAGAGUAAGCAGUAAAUUGGAAUUUUGCCAUGCCUGUAUCACAUCAUUAUGCUAGCAUGCUGAUGCCAGCCUUUAUUGUCAAGGUAGAGUACUUGGGAAAAGUCUUGAGCCGCCCCUCAUUUCUUUAUAUUUUGCUUACUGUCAGCUUGCAGGUUUUCAUAAAGUGGUCCUGAGUAGUUCUCCAGGCUUUCUGAAGGUCUUUCUAUGAUUUUCUCUUGACAUUGACUACAUUUUCACUCAUUUUCAGUCCAGUUCGUAACCAUUUUGAAAGGAAUGUUUUUUUGUUUGCUUGUUUGUUAAUUCACUCAUCACUGACCUAUGAGUCAUUCAAACAUAACAAGGCACCUAACUCAAAGGAUGAAUCAGUGUUGUGUCUACACAGACAACUUAGCAAGAAUCAAUUUUUAAUUGUAACUUUAGGCAUUUUGUUACUUGCAAAAACACAUCAAUUUACAAUUUCUUUAGUUGAAUUGAAAAGUGGGAAAGGGAAAACAUUUUGACAGGAAUAAAAUAGCACUCUUGUGUCAACAAGGUGAUUCCCAAAGAGCUAUAAGACAUAAACUUAGUAUCUCAGAAUGGCGUGCUGUGUGUUCUUACAAAGUGUGAAGAAACUGGACAACCAGAAGACAAAAGAAGACAUGACAGGCCUAAAAAACUAUCUGCACCAGAUUAACUGUAUGUAAAAGUCAAGUUCAGUGUAUCUCCACCUACUGUUCACUGAAGCCUCAUCAGAAAUAGUCUGAUGAGGAAACCAAUCUUACGGAAGGAAAACUGAAAAAAAGGCUGAGGAAUGACAAAUAACACAAGAACUGGACUGAAAAUCAGUGGCAAAAGAUCUUAUAGAUCGCUGAAUUCAAAUUUGAAAGGUUAUCAUCAGAAGUGGUCAGGAGAGAGGUACGAGAGUGAGUCUCUACAAAUACACAGUGGAGGCUCUGUCAUGGUUUGGGGCUGUAUUUCAGCCAGUGGUGUUGGGGAUCUUUUCAAAACUGAUGGAAUUAUGAACACAGAAAAAUACCAUAAGAUUUUGAUCCACCAUGAGGAAAAGAUCUGAUUGGCAAAGGCUUCAUUUUUCACCAUGACAAUGAUCCCAAACACACUGCCAAUGCAAUAAUAGCAAAGCUGGAUACAAAAACACACUAUUGGUCAUUAUCGGUCGUGGAGUUCAACGUUUUUGAAGCAGGGUGGGAUCGUCUUGACAGAGAUUCGAACAAAAGGCAGCGAACAUCCAAAGAAGAGCUUUGAAUGUCCUUCAAGAAGCCUGGAGAACUAUUCCUGAAGACUACUUAAAGAAAUUAUAGGAAAGCUUGCUUAGCAGAGUCCAGACUGUGUUAAAGAAUAAAGGUGGUCAUAACUGUAAUACCUGUUUUUGCCUUAUAUACUAUAUUUCUGUAUGUUUGCAUGUUUCAGUAGAUUGAAUCUAUAGAUAGAUUUUUCGAACAAAAUAUAAAGAAAAGACUGGUGGCUCAAGACUUUGCACCAUAUCUUUUAGGUUUUAGAGAACAGACCGGGAUCCUCAUUAGGGAUCCUCAUAGUGCUGACUACUGCAGAUUCUAAAUUUGGCUGUAAGGUCAGGAUUUUACUCGCUCGCAAACAUAGACAUGAACAGCUGAGGACAACAUGGAUGACUAGUUUCCAUCUCCCUUUAAGUUUGGUGCCUGUGCCCAUCCUAGGCUGUAUAUAUCUAUCGACUGUGUCCUCACCUAAUUGUUGUGGAGUCCACAUUUUGCUACAGAAACAUUAGCAUUUUGGGCCAUGUUGGUUUUUGUAGACAGAAGUGAUCGUACGUGGAAGACAGCAUGAAAUGCAAAGAUCUCAGCUAAGGCUAUCAAGCCUGGUUAGCAGGAUGGAUACACUCACUGACCAAAACUGAAACCGAAACACCUUGAACAACAAGCCAUAUUAUUUCUCUGAUAAUUCCACAGAAAUGCUCCUGAGGUGCAGUUCAGUGACUCAAAUUAGCAGAGUUGAGAUGAGCUCCCAGCUGCAGGGACACCUGUUAACCACAACAGCCAUGCCCAUCAUCUUAAGCCUUAAUAAACUCCAAAUGGGUGAGUUUUAAAAAAGACCCCCAGCGCAGUAGUUAUAAAGGGGAAAGUUAGCUUUAGCGACCAAAAGCGUUUUUGUACCAAUCAUAGACUCAUUCAGGUCCAGAGGUUGCUGAACGGCUCAGUCACAUCCAUUCGCUCACAACAAACUUUGGCAGGCCUGUGGACGCCCAGAUUUAGCCUCACGUCCCCCAUUUAAUGACUCUCUCGGACCCUCUCGCACUUGCUGAUGCGGAAACUAGAACACUGCCACGAGUCCUGUUAUCAGCUUGGUGUUGUGAAGCAUAUGAGUCAUUCCUGGACUCCUAUCUUUGAGAUGUUUAUUCUUGGUUGUGCAUCCCCAAAUUUAUCAUUGUCACCAGCAGCCUUCCCUCCUCUGUUUACUUUCUAAAUAACUUAAAGCUUUAUUGGCUGAAAGGGUCACAUCUGUUUGCCAAAGGAUUAGUAAGAUAUUCUUCUGAGCCUGAUGAUAUUGUUUGUCCUUGUCAUACUCUCCUCCACCAUUUCUUAUUCUUAAGCACCAGUUUUCCUUGAUGGAUAUGGCUUUCUUCAGAUGAGCAUCAAUGAGUCACUCUAUUGGAAAGGUGCCUGCUUUGCAGAAGUUUUUACGAUAUUAGAUUAAGUGUACAGUUAUUUUACGUCUUAGAGGACUUUAAAUGUGUGUGCGCGGAUUAAAAUCAGGCAGUCGUCGUCAUAAUCUCAUCCUAGAGGAUCUGCAGUUGACGUUUUAUUUUGCUGACUCAUGUUCUGACAGCUGAGUAAGCCCCGAACCCCUCCGGGUCACCUUUGUCAUUUGUCCAGUCACUUUCCUGCACAGACAGACCUCGCCUCCCCUUACUCGCCCUUUCGAUUGUUUUAAGCAUCUGGUGAGAACCAAUGUGACUUCUCCCAAUCAGGGUUUAAGUAAGCAUUAUUCGAAUAGUAACAAAUGGAUAUGAAAAACGAUAAUGAGUAAUAAUAUCUUUUAUUUCUUUCUGUUCACAUUUGACUGUUGGUCAGUGUGUAUGUAUGUGUGUGCUUGGUGUUCUUGUGUUGGGGUUUAUUUCUUUCCGAAACCAUGAGAAGAAAAAGCUUUCUGUUUUUGAAAAACUUUAUGUAAAUAUUGUUGGUGAAAAAUUAACAUUUGUUGUACGCCGAGUUUUCAUUUGUCACUCGAAAUGAUGACGAAAACAACGAUAUUCAUGAAUAACAGUGGUGAUGUUGACGAUACUGAAGCUGAUUAUACCUGCCCUUCUUGAACAAGGGCUUUUGAUGUCUGCUGUAUUUUUGUUGGAGGUGUCGUGCGGUCAGGGCAAGAGAAACAAAGGGAAGGAGUGAUACCCAACACAUCCCGGAUCCGCCGUAGCAACACUGCCACAUACCCUUUACCCUCCCCCACACCUCCAGGAAACUGUGCGAUAUGUGGCGCUAAUCGUAGCCUGUGUUUCUCAUGCCAUAAAGCUUUGUUGCAUUUGUGUUGCAAACACCAAAACCAGCAGCGCCCUGCUUUUCAAGUGAGCUGCACGCCUCCCUGUGGAGCCACUCUGUCCUGGUUUGCUUGGCACCCUGUCUGCUUACAGGCUUGGGGAUUUACUGUAAUGCCAUUGUGUUAGGCAGGAUUGGCCCUGUACUGACACCGAUGAUGCCUUCUUCAUUGAAUUUGCAGUCAUUAUUUUCUCUGUUGGAGGCCAUGCAUGGGGACGGGCAUGUAUGGAGGACAGAGUGUAUUCCUAGUAGAAGGACAUAAACCAUCCAUCUGACCCCGUAAAGACAAUUUUCAUGCUUGUGAGUCAGCCUCUUAUUCGGGGGUUAGACUCAUGGUUAAGCACAAGUGACUGACAUGAACUUGCCACAUUAUAGGCUCAUCUUGUGCUUUUCCUUUUCUUUCUUUCUUUCUUUUUUAAAAAAGAACUCACAAUCUUGAGGAAGAAAAUCCCAGGAUUAGCACAAGAAAUAAGCUAUAUAGGCUAUAAAGGUUUGCCAUAUGGCAAUAAUUAUUUUUAAUCAUUAAAAAAACAAUUUAAAAAAUAGGACAGACUUUUUUCCAAAUGUCCAAAAUGUGCCCUGUGCCUUCUUGACAGACAUAUUCAACCCACUGCUUUAUCAAAUAAAUACAUAAAUAACUGCACAGGGCUGUAGUCCAGUUAUUUUCACUGCAGGUGUCAGUACACCCACUUCCCUAUUUUUCAUAUGUCAUUGCCUUAUGUAUCUGGCUGGGCCUGUCUACAGUGCUGCGAUGGAGCUUAUCAGUUUCACAUUACUUUUAGGACCGUCUCUGCCAACAGACAUGAUAUGGUAGAGCAGAUACUCCCAGCAGCCUUCUGCAGGAAGGACAGUGGAUACAGUCUUGCCUUCAUUUGUAAUACCAUCCUGUAGAGGGAGUCCCACAGGGUCAGAAAGUCCACAGACACACUAAAAAUAAAUUUCCCCUAAACCCAGAUCCGUCAGAGCGCGCGUCUCUUACUUUCCUCGCUGGUUGUAAAUAGACUUGAUGCAGUUAGAGCAGCCUCUAACUCCUGCCAUAAUGUGGACAUUUUUAAUCAGACACAGCGAGGUUCUGGCAGCCAGGAGAGUGCGGUGGAACGCAGACUGGGACCCUGUGCAGUAGUGUGUAUGUGUGUGCGUGUAUGUUAGGUGUGUGUCCGUCCAUGGUAGUGCUAGUGCUCUCUGUGCAGUGCCUCCCUCCUCCCUCCUCUCUCUGAUGUAGUUUGUCAUGUGAUGCAGUGUGCAUUAAGGUGCAGGAUGACUGUGUUUUCUGAAGCUGGCAGCUGCCCCGUCUCUUCCCCCCCACCCCCCCACCCCCCACCACCACCAAUGUGUGUCUCCUCCUCAUGUCCAUUCUUGUUGUUUUUUUUCUACCGCGCUUCGUUUCAGUCCUCCGCUAAGUAUAGAUUUCCAUUCUCGCUGCUCAAUUGUUCAUUUGCUCUCCCAUUCAGCUGGUAAUGUGCACACCACCGGAGUCUAAUUUCACAGUAAUCCAUGCUUCCCGAUCUAUCUGUGAUCCUUUGACCAUUAGCAUCUCUCAUUCAUCACCCUCCACAUUUCUGAAGAACACCUUGUUUUUCUACAGAGCUCUGUGGACCAGAGAAUGAUUUAGCACAAAAAAGAGGGCAUGCUUAUAACUCCAACCCCAAAUCUCUUACCCAUCAUGCUUCUUUUUCUUUACCCUCCUGAUGCAAAGUGUGAGGAGAUGGGUCGCUGUCAGCUCAGCAUGCAGAAUCACAAAGCAGCCAUAUUCAAAGUCAAGCACAGACUUAAAUCUAUGUUUUGGUGGCUUCACUGCUGCCCGUUUGUAGCAAGAGCAGGAGAAUAGCCUUAAAGAUUGGACCAACUGCACGAAAAAGUAGUGGGAUAUGUGCAUUCGUAGUGGACUAUUACCUCCCCUUUCCCACACCAGAUUUAUUACUCAGUAUUCCAAUGUGUUGCUUGGUUGCUCUGUACAUAUCUGUGUAGUACUUCUGUUGAUGUCCCUGUGUUAGUAUAGUAAUGGGUUCUUACUGGGCGGCCUCCGCAGACGUCCUCUCCCUCCUGCCCUCGUCUCAUUUUCUCAGAAACUUCAAAACAUUCCAUCUGAAUCUGUACUGAACAACAAUUUAAAGCUGAUUAGAUUCCAUAUAUACUCGCAGUAAAACAGGAGGAGGACUGAACCACAGACGUUUCCACGGCGAGCCAUGAUAAUAACCAAGACGCCUUGCUUCGUGUCCCUCUGAGAAGUACACACCCACAGCUUGCAGCACACUCAGCGUAAACGACCUUCACACGCCCCUUUGCUCCUCCUAAUCCACCUCCACGCUGACCUCACCCAGUUUUGAGAGGUCAAUGGGUCGUCUGUGUUUGUGAGGAGCCUCUGACCUCCUGAGGGUGGAGUAAAGGAAAAGGUGGGAGAGCCCUGGGAGGCAGCAGAAAGGCGUGUGGACGUGGUCACAUCCUGGGUCAGGAGGGAAGGAAGCCAGGACGUCUCAAGGUCAAGCCCAGUAGCACUUUGGUUUUGCGUUCCAUGUUUUUUAGCCUCUCCUGUUUUUUGGCCGAGCGGACUGUGAUCUUACUGGUUGAUUUUCUCGUUCUCCUCCACCCAUCAGUGUUAUAAAGUGUGUUGGGUGGAUGGAGCCUUGGAGCUGAGCUCUGAUUUUGUUCCAUAUUAAAGAAUCAUUUUUAC
ensembl:lncRNA